UACGUAGGGUGCGAGCGUUGUCCGGAAUUAUUGGGCGUAAAGAGCUCGUAGGCGGUUUGUUGCGUCUAUCGUGAAAACCUGCAGCUUAACUGUGGGCUUGCGGUCGAUACGGGCAUCACUGGAGUUCGGCAGGGGAGACUGGAAUUCCUGGUGUAGCGGUGAAAUGCGCAGAUAUCAGGAGGAACACCGGUGGCGAAGGCGGGUCUCUGGGCCGAUACUGACGCUGAGGAGCGAAAGCGUGGGGAGCAAACAGG
rnacentral:rRNA from 1 species